UACAUGUCAUCAUAGUCAACUAUAACUAAGCUUUGGAUAAAAGCGUCUGCUAAAUGGCAUAUUAUUUAUUUAUUAUCAUAAAAUCCUCCUAAAUCCCUCAAAUAAAAACGUAAUUUAGCAUCAAUUAGCCAGAUAAGCUAAUGUUAGCAAAUUAGCUGAAAGGAAUGAAAAGGACUUUUGCCACAUGGAAAAUUCAGAACUGGAAGAAGUGCAAGAGAAAUGAAGGUAAUACAUUUAUUUUUCUUCAUUUACAACUAAAGAGAUAGUUAUUAUCUAAGCUGUUCUUACAUUUAAGUGUUCUUGACCACAAAUGUUACUUAGCACUAUCAUGUUUUUCCAUUUAAAGCCAAAGUGAUGAUAUUGGUUGUUCAGUUCAGAUAAUGUUAUUUGUAGAGUUUACAGUACUAUACUUUUAUAACAGUAUUUAUCUUUGAAGGUGUUAAGAUUGCUUACUGUGCUUACUGUGAAAAGAUUGCUAUUGUGAUUGCAGUUGCAUAAGGUUUGCACUGAUCGGUUAGCCUAAUAAGCUAACCGGAUACUGCAUUAGUAAGAACAUGAGCACGAUAUGACUAAAGGCAGACUAAUACCAUUUGAUAUAUCCUUAUUCGAUUCAAAUCAAGUAUUAGUCUUUUCUGUAUUUGUCUCGCUGACUUUUUGUCAUCCAAUGUAGAUGUUUUCUAGUUGAGGAGCACAUGGGCAAUUGAAGAGCAUGUCAAAACGAAGAGCCAGACUUAGUCCUGAGGCUGAGGCUAUUCAUUUUAUUAUUUCUGGAAGUGACAAGCCUUGUAUAAAGUCAAAUGGAUCAAUGACUAUAAAGGACGUGGUGUAUUUGCCUCAGCACCAAUUGAAAAGGGAUCCUUUGUCCUCGAGUACCGUGGGGAGUUUAUAUCGCAAUAUGAAUGGGACAAGAGGCAGGGGAAGUAUACGGAAAAGCAAAAUGCUUUCUUGUUUGAUUUUGAAUGGAACAAUGGCUCAUGGUGCAUAGAUGCAUCCUGCGAAGAUGGUUCACUGGGGAGGCUGGUAAAUGAUGCCCACAGGUCCCCAAAUUGCAAAAUGAAAAAGAUGAUAGUCCAAUGUAAACCUCAUCUUUGCUUGUUUGCUAUUGAAAACAUCCAAGCAGAGAGUGAAAUAACCUAUGAUUAUGGAUAAUCUCAGUGGCCAUGGCGUGCUCUGACACCAAGUGACAAGAUCCCAGCUCAAGCUUCAGCAGACC